rnacentral:rRNA from 1 species
UGGGGAAUCUUGGACAAUGGGGGCAACCCUGAUCCAGCCAUGCCGCGUGAGUGAUGAAGGCCUUAGGGUCGUAAAGCUCUUUCGCCUGUGAAGAUAAUGACGGUAGCAGGUAAAGAAACCCCGGCUAACUCCGUGCCAGCAGCCGCGGUAAUACGGAGGGGGUUAGCGUUGUUCGGAAUUACUGGGCGUAAAGCGCACGUAGGCGGACCAGAAAGUUGGGGGUGAAAUCCCGGGGGCUCAACCCCGGAACUGCCUCCAAAACUAUUGGUCUAGAGUUCGAGAGAGGUGAGUGGAAUUCCAAGUGUAGAGGUGAAAUUCGUAGAUAUUUGGAGGAACACCAGUGGCGAAGGCGGCUCACUGGCUCGAUACUGACGCUGAGGUGCGAAAGUGUGGGGAGCAAACAGGAUUAGAUACCCUGGGUAGUCCAGCACCGUAAAACGAUGAAUGCCAGUCGUCGGGUAGCAUGCUAUUCGGUGACACACCUAACGGAUUAAGCAUUCCGCCUGGGGAGUACGGUCGCAA